ACCUACACAUUUAACAAAUGUGUUUAAAACCUGUCAAUCAUUAUGCUGCUACUUGCAAAAUCGCAACUUUUCUAGUGUUUAAUGUGCACAAAUUAUCAAUUCACCUGGAUUCUUAUUUUGAUGAUAGCUGACGCAAAUGCCUAACCCAAUCAAAAUGUUUUUUCCAUUAAAUCUUGAGGUGAUACCAGAUGAUAAGAAAGCAUUAUAAGAACUCACAGCCAUUUGUUAUUUCAAGUGCAUUAUUUCAAUUGAUGAAGAGGAUAAGUUGAAGAUAG
rnacentral:lncRNA from 1 species